AGCAUCACCAAUAUCAGCCAUGUUGUUACAGCUGUGUGAUCAUUGCUUUUUUGCCAUUGAAUUUCUUCUUGUUCCCAGCUCUGGCAGGUUUGGUGACCAGUGAACACAUGAGGAAGGACAGAAGCUCGGUGUGUGCAAUAGUCUGGCUAGAAGGCAAGGCCCCAGAAAUCGCAAGGAAGCUGCGGCUCUUCCAGCACGUCUGGCUUUGAGGAGUUGCUGCUGCAGGAUGCACUGAGAACUUGAGAAGCAGCAGCAUUACACGUGCUCUUGCAAUUCAGCCUUGCUUGGAGCCAACAGGAGACUUUGCAAUGGAUUCCCAGAGAGCAGGUUGUGACUUGGGUCAAGUAGAGCUAACAACUAGAUCCAACAACAACUACUUCAUCUGAUGUUUCUUUAGCUGUUUUCUCUGUUCUGCAAAAGGGGAGUUGAUAAUUCGCUUCCUCGCAUCAGUCAAUGCCUGGAACCACCUGCUUUUGGAGGAGAAUGCCAGGAUGACGUCACCCAAAGCCCACAGGGAAAUAUUGCAGCGCAAGUGGGAAACAGCGUUUCCUCUGCUCAAGUGCCUCUGCUAUUUAGCUGCUGCACCCAAAGAAUGUGCAAAGUAAAAAACACAGCAAGUCUUGAGUUGCACCAGUGCUGUUUGCAGCCAUGGAGUCACUCGCUUCCAGGGACACAGUAAGUGGCUUUAGAGUCUUAUUUUUAGAGCAUUCCUGCUGCUGUUAUUCCAGUUUCAAGACAGAAGAAAUCUUGCUGGGUCCAGCUACCAUGACACCAUAUUUAUACUCCAUCUCUAUGCUGCCAUGGCCUCACAUUCAUAUCUGCAGUUAACUCCGAGCCCUGUCUACACCUGAGUUCACUUGCUGGCAGCUACUGCUCUAUGAUAUUGCUGGAGUGUGAACCUUGACAGGGACAAGACAGCUGUCUUCCCAUACAGUUUCAAGUCAGGGUGAGCUUGACUGGAUUUUAUCUCCCUACAGAAAUGGUACCUUUUCUUCUUGUCUGUCCUGGGUGCUUUAUUGAGGUGGCCAUACCAAUAGCUUGGAAAAGUGGAGCAGAAUCACAUACAGAUGAGCCCUUUGUGGGUUGCCUGCUGCCCCAUUUCCCUUGUUACUGAGGAACUGCUGCUCAGUGGGGCCACUCUGCAAGAUGCUUCUAAAGAAGAACAAAGAUGUAUGAGAUGUAAAGGUGACAAGCACAAGAAAGACCAUGCUCGUCAUGGCCAAAAGUCCAUUGGGAUACUUAUAUGCUUGUUUUUAUGCUGAGGGGAAGUGGAGCAGAGCUUAAAUUCAGUUUCAAAGUCUGGUCAUCUGAAUGUAUCCCUCAACGGCAGGAGCGAUGUGAUGCUUGCUGAGGAACUGAUAAAUAGCUUCAGUUUUGUCUCCUUUUCUAAGCCCAGAUCCCUUCUUUACAAGGUAAUAAAAAUGUGCUGGCAUCGUCACAGCCAUCCCAAGCUGGAGCUGGCAGACACAGGGCUAUCCUGUUUUGUGAACUUUUUCAUCUCAUGAGAGUUUUAAGACACUUAUUUGGUCUGUACCUCCUUAUUUGAGACUGACCAGUUUGAAUCACUUUUGAUAAACUAUCAGUACUAGUCUCAAACAUCCUAUGACUUUAAUUAAAGUAGAUCACUGGAUAGAGAUACCCUGUGAAAUGCUCCCAUAGAGAUGAGAACUACACCAUGAGUGCUCCCCUGAGUAAUCAUCAGAGGCUGUUAUCACACUGAACAGCUUAACUUGAAACUCAGACCUCACCACAUGCCAAAAAACACUCAAGACAAGAGUGACUAAGGACUAAUCACAUCCACUGUAUCGUGAGAGUAACUGAAAAGUAAUAGAUGAGCCACCAUAAGAUGGUAUAAGGCAUAGGUAUGUAGGAAACUGGGCUUCAUUAACUUUUUGUGCAAGAGACGGCCUGUUUGAUAUAGCCAAGGUUUUCAACUACUACUUUUAUGCUAUUAUAGGCACAAGGUCAGUGAGUCAGUAAGUGUUAUUAACAUGUACAGUCAUAUUUAAAGGCUUUCUUUAUCUAUUGCAUUCUAGCUCUGUCCUGCAGUAGGUUUCUAGAAUGCGAUACCAUGUGAAUGAAGCUGGUAUGAGAAGCUGGAAAGAGACAAUGGGGAAAAUAAAGUAUUUAAGGUUGGCAUGGAGUUUACUUCAUGCUGCUUCUGCCUUGGUGUGUUGCUGGUGCCAGCCACAGUGGUACUGACUAAACCAGGUCACCUUUGGAGACUCAUGCAUUUGAUACACAUAUCUUCUAUAGUUUUCAUUGUGUCUUCACAAAUUAUUGUUUGCAGAAGCUAACCACAGAUUAGAUUAGUGCAUUGCUCCAGUGGGAUGCAAACUUUAGGGUUUAGGCAAUGCUAACAAGAGCCAACAAGUUAUACCUGAGUCAUUCCCCUGGCUGAAACAUCUCCUGCUUCGAUGGCAACAGAAGCAAGCUGAGCAUCCUCCCAGGAGACAUCAAGUGUUGACACCAAGGAUAGUCAUCUCCCAUCACGAUACACCAAGCAGAACUUGCAGUGGAAGAGCCACCAAAGUGAUUGAUCAUACAAUUAUCCUUGCAGCGAUACCAGACCGUCAAUGAGAUUAGAAGGGAGACACUUAAUGUAGUCUUUUGGUAGUGGGGCAAGAUUUACAUUCUUAGCAUAAGCUGCUUAGGAAAAGCUCCUUUUACUUAGCAUUUAUCACUUGUUACUGAUGUUUUAUUACAUUGAUAGCCAUCCCAGUCAAAUGUUUUGAAGUACCUACCUGUUGCACGCAUAGGCAUAUUCCCUUAGAUGCCAAACAUUUCAAGAGAACAAGACUGGAGACAAACUGGCUUAGACCUACUUAGUUGCACUGAUGUAAACUCGGGGUAGGUCCCUUUUAGGUCAAUGAAAAAGGGCCUAAUGUGCUUUCUGAGUUGUUGGGUUUCUUCCCACUGGCACUGAUGGAAGCUGUGUAUGGUGACCACAGGUCUGUGGACCUUACAUAAGACAAGCUUACAGUGAGCUUAGCAGGAUCUCUGGCUCAAGCAAGAAAUACCAAAUUUGAUCCUAUAGGGUAAAACACACUGCAUUUCCUCCAAAAUGUCUUUGGUUCACUUACCCCACCCCCAUGAUGAGCCAAGCCAGACAUAUUCCUUCUAGAUGAAAAAGUCAUUCUUCUGUUGUUUUUCACAAGCCUCUCAGGUAUACAAAAGGAUAAUGCAGCAUACAGCAUCAUCACCUAACGGUGCCUGUAACAUGCAUUAUGCAAAAGAGUCCCAGGGUGUUGUACAAUGAAAUUCUACAAUAAUCUUAGUAACAAAGAGCAAUUAAAAGCAGCAGUUAACCUAUAUUUCUCUACCCUACCUUAGGUGUCAACAUACACCCAGGAUUGCAAAUACUAGUUGGAAGCACAUCGCACUGUCCAGAGGCAUAAUUACAGAAAGCUGUAGUUCUCUUUAUCACAAAGUUUUAAUUAGCAGGACACAUUAAAUAACCAGCUGAUACAGAUCUUAAUGAAUCAUUUAUAGGCCUACAUCUGAGAUAAUUAUGUGUAGCUGGUCACACAUAAUCACUCGCAUAUGCCUGGGUUUAUGUGAAAUGGAAUAUGCAUCUUCCUCAUGUAAAGUAAAAGUGAAAAAGAUGGGACAAGACUGGGGCAAUAGCUCACCUUAACCCAACAUCUUGUGCCUGGACCAUUGCUGACAAGAUUGGGAGGCCCUAAGAAUAGCUGGUUUCAAAAGAAUUCUACCCUGAGGAAAGACAGGAGCUCUGGGCUCCUGAAUUGUUGGUUGGUUUGUUUUUUGGUGUUUUCAAUCAUGGUGGUUACCCCAGGUGGGCACUGUAUGUGAUGCUGCUCAGGAAUGAGGAGAGGGCAGAUGCACACCAGGGUUGAGGAUGCGUUUUCUCGGGUGAGCUGAGACUCUGGUGUCUGCAAGCCCCAUCAUGCUACCCCUGCUGUGGUUCCCUGGCAGCCUCACAUGCCCCAGAUGUGUCCCACUUUUCCCCAGCCAUGCUGCCUGCCCUGGAGCAUGGAGAGGCUGCUCCAGAACCACCACCACAGACCCCCAGCAGCUGGGUCUCUGAUCCACCAGGGGAGUUCCCAGCUCUCCAGUUUCACCAGCUUUCUUGCUGCAUAUUAUGUCUGGAUGAAAAAGUGGGAAGUGUUCCCAAACAUCCAAUUGCUCCAGGCCUAAUUUUUGCCCUGCGUACUGUUUCAGGGCCAGACUUUCAUGGUGUUUGUUUGUUGACUGCUCUUUGAUAGUAAAAAAGAAUUAUAAGUUGUCUGU